AAGCUCGUAGUUGAAUUUCGGGAUUAAUUUAUUGGUCAUGCAAUAGUACGUACUGGUAUUAUUGAUUCCUACCUUCUGACGAACCAUGAUGUCAUUAAUUUGGUGUCAUGGGGAAUCAGGACUGUUACUUUGAAAAAAUUAGAGUGUUUAAAGCAGGCUCACGCUUGAAUACAUUAGCAUGGAAUAACGAAGUAGGACGUUUGAUUCUAUUUUGUUGGUUUCUAGGAUCGACGUAAUGAUUAAUAGGGAUAGUUGGG
rnacentral:rRNA from 1 species